rnacentral:tRNA from 1 species
CAGGUCAUAGCUCAAAACAGGAGAGCGUCUCCCUUACACUGAGAAGAUAUACGUGCAAACCGGAUUGUCCUGA